rnacentral:rRNA from 1 species
AGCGGAGGGAUCAUUACCGAGUUUACAACUCCCAAACCCAAUGUGAACGUUACCAAACUGUUGCCUCGGCGGGAUCUCUGCCCCGGGUGCGUCGCAGCCCCGGACCAAGGCGCCCGCCGGAGGACCAACCAAAACUCUUAUUGUAUACCCCCUCGCGGGUUUUUUUUUAUAAUCUGAGCCUUCUCGGCGCCUCUCGUAGGCGUUUCGAAAAUGAAUCAAAACUUUCAACAACGGAUCUCUUGGUUCUGGCAUCGAUGAAGAACGCAGCGAAAUGCGAUAAGUAAUGUGAAUUGCAGAAUUCAGUGAAUCAUCGAAUCUUUGAACGCACAUUGCGCCCGCCAGUAUUCUGGCGGGCAUGCCUGUCCGAGCGUCAUUUCAACCCUCGAACCCCUCCGGGGGGUCGGCGUUGGGGAUCGGCCCUCCCUUAGCGGGUGGCCGUCUCCGAAAUACAGUGGCGGUCUCGCCGCAGCCUCUCCUGCGCAGUAGUUUGCACACUCGCAUCGGGAGCGCGGCGCGUCCACAGCCGUUAAACACCCAACUUCUGAAAUGUUGACCUCGGAUCAGG